rnacentral:rRNA from 3 species
UACAGAGGGUGCAAGCGUUGUUCGGAAUUAUUGGGCGUAAAGCGCGUGUAGGCGGCUUGGCAAGUCGGGUGUGAAAGCCCUCAGCUCAACUGAGGAAGUGCGCCCGAAACUGCUUUGCUUGAGUGCUGGAGAGGGUCGCGGAAUUCCCCAAGUAGAGGUGAAAUUCGUAGAUAUGGGGAGGAACACCGGUGGCGAAGGCGGCGACCUGGACAGUAACUGACGCUGAGACGCGAAAGCGUGGGUAGCAAACAGG